rnacentral:rRNA from 1 species
UACGAAGGGGGCGAGCGUUGUUCGGAUUUACUGGGCGUAAAGGGCGCGUAGGCGGCGCAACAAGUCACUUGUGAAAUCUCCGGGCUUAACCCGGAAAGGUCAACUGAUACUGCGCGGCUAGAGUGCGGAAGGGGCAACUGGAAUUCUCGGUGUAGCGGUGAAAUGCGUAGAUAUCGAGAGGAACACCUGCGGCGAAGGCGGGUUGCUGGGCCGACACUGACGCUGAGGCGCGAAAGCCAGGGGAGCGAACGGG